GCUUUUACAAUGGAAGGGAAGGCAGCUUGCCAGCUUGACAGCUUGACAUUUGCUUAAGUGUCUCUCGUCUGUCAGUGAUUCCAGAUUGUUGACGAAAUAUCGUCUUCUGCUACUUCUAAGUUUCGAUGGCCAUUGAUAAUUGGAGAGCAGCAUUGGAAUGCAACAGCUUUGUCUGGGCUAAAUGCCCUACUAGAUAGAAUCCUCUCGGGAAACUUCGUCUGCUCCUAAGUUUUACACAAUACACAUCACAAGUUACUUCCUAAAAUCAAAACUAAUUUAGAUGAGGAUUUUGAGGUAAGUUGAACCGUUUAUAAUAAAAAACAUUUAUUAGCUAUAUAUCAUUCUUAUUGCAUUCUUGACUUUGUGUUUUCAGAAUUUUAGCAGAUGUUUUUGUGUGACCUAGGUGCUUGUGAGUUGUGACAGUAGAGAUCAAAUCAUUCAAAUGGGUCAAUCCAAUAAUGUAAGCUAUGUCUUCCAAAGCUAAAUAGUUUCUACUGUCAUUUAAUGUUUAUAAUAAUAUGUCAGGUUAACUUCCCCUCUCAAAUCAUACUAAAUCUUUAAAUAUUGAUCCCUUCCCCAGAUCCAAUUCUUUGCUGCUAUCCUUUAAAGACAACAGCAAAAUAAUGCUCCCCACUCAAGAGGUUGUGGUGACCUCCACUAAGUUCUAAUUUAGGACAUUGAUAGAUUUGAGGUAUUAUUGCUUGCUGUUGCUACAACAUGGUUUGAAAAUUAUAUCUAAAUAUUCUCUCCUUUCAGGUUAAUCCAAUCAUCCCUCACCACUCUACAGUUGUUUGGAAACUGACAGGAGAUUGCUGGAAUCGAAGACUGUUAAUUUGUGUAAAUGUAGAUAAAUUACAUCUGGGAUUCUUUUCUGUGGUUCCCGUUUCCCUAACUAACGACUAACCAACACCCGCCGGUGGUCACUCACCCGCUGUGACAAUCAGGAGGAUGAGGAGGGUUGUGGUCGAACGGUGACUUUGAAGGCUCAUGAUCUGAGGAAGACUUUUGGAGGGUCUAAUAACUUGGAAACCUAUUAUGACUAAUCGCUCCCUAGUAAAACUGGCCUCGCACUCAUCUCUCUUCUUCCUUGUCCUUGUCGGACUAAUAGCUGGAAAAGGAAAACCAAGAAACUGUCUAGCAACAUCUCUAGUAUCUCUCCAUACCCAUGGUCAAGUCAAGACAUUCAUGACAAUCACUUAAAAAGACUUGUUGUAAUCAAUGACGUUUCUAGUACAUUUAAACCAAAUUGCAAGCAAUGAAAACCUGUUUAAUUGAUGGUUAGAACAUUAGAAAUCAUGGAAACGGUGUAAGGAAAAUCAUACUGCAAAUCGUCUGUCAAACUCGGUCAAGCUAACCAAUCUGCCAAACUACGCAAUAAAAGUAAAACUGAAUUUAAAUGAAUGCAAUGAAAGGUUCCGAAUAAGUAUUACUAAUCUUGUACUUCGUUGUUCCUAACGAGAGAAAGGUUUAGGGUGAGGAUUGAUAGUU